rnacentral:rRNA from 1 species
CGGAGGAAAAGAAACCAACAGGGAUUGCCUCAGUAACGGCGAGUGAAGCGGCAAAAGCUCAAAUUUUAAAGCUGGCACCUUCGGUGUCCGCGUUGUAAUUUUGUGAGGCAUCUCCGGGUAGGGCGCCGGCCUAAGUUCCUUGGAACAGGACGUCAUAGAGGGUGAGAAUCCCGUGCUUGGCUGGCUGUCCCCGUCCAUGUGAGGUGUCUUCGACGAGUCGAGUUGUUUGGGAAUGCAGCUCAAAAUGGGUGGUAAAUUUCAUCUAAAGCUAAAUAUUGGUGGGAGACCGAUAGCGCACAAGUAGAGUGAUCGAAAGAUGAAAAGCACUUUGAAAAUAGAGUUAAAAAGUACGUGAAAUUGUUGAAAGGGAAGCGCUUGAGACCAGACUUCGGUGGGGAGUGAUCAGCUGUCCUUCUGGGCGGUGCACUUGCUCCCCUCCGGGCCAGCAUCGGUUGGGACGGCGGGAUAAAGGUCCCGGGAAUGUGGCUCCUCUCGGGGAGUGUUAUAGCCCGGGUGAAUGCCGCCAGCCCCGACCGAGGACCGCGCCUUCGGGCUAGGAUGCUUGGCAUAAUGGUCUUCAGCGACCCGUC